rnacentral:rRNA from 1 species
UAGGGAAUCUUCCGCAAUGGACGCAAGUCUGACGGAGCAACGCCGCGUGAGUGAAGAAGGAUUUCGGUUCGUAAAACUCUGUUGUUAGAGAAGAACAGCGCAUAGAGUAACUGUUAUGCGUGUGACGGUAUCUAACCAGAAAGCCACGGCUAACUACGUGCCAGCAGCCGCGGUAAUACGUAGGUGGCAAGCGUUGUCCGGAUUUAUUGGGCGUAAAGGGUUCGCAGGCGGAAAUGCAAGUCAGGUGUAAAAGGCAGUAGCUUAACUACUGUAAGCAUUUGAAACUGCAUAUCUUGAGAAGAGUAGAGGUAAGUGGAAUUUUUAGUGUAGCGGUGAAAUGCGUAGAUAUUAAAAAGAAUACCGGUGGCGAAGGCGACUUACUGGGCUCAUUCUGACGCUGAGGAACGAAAGCGUGGGUAGCAAACAGG